GCCUGGAGGGGAUUGCCUCACGCCCGUAGUGACAUGCAACUCUUCUGUCUCCCCCCGGGCCUCCCGGGGAGGUUGCGGGCGGCGAGGGGUGCCUCCGGCCGCACGCCCAUUCUUGUCUACUGACCCGGUUGCCUCGGCGGGCCGCGCCUGCUGUGCUACAGCGGCCGUUCGGGGGGGACGCCUGAGGGGGACUCUUGUUUCCUAGGCCACGCCCCGGGCAGCGCUCGCCGGAGGAUUACUCUGGAAAACACACUCUUGAAAGAACAUACCGUCUGAGCGAGCAACGCAAAUCAGUUAAAACUUUCAACAACGGAUCUCUUGGUUCCGGCAUCGAUGAAGAACGCAGCGAAAUGCGAUAAGUAAUGUGAAUUGCAGAAUUCCGUGAAUCAUCGAAUCUUUGAACGCACAUUGCGCCCCCUGGCAUUCCGGGGGGCAUGCCUGUUCGAGCGUCAUUUCAACCCCUCAAGCCCGGCUUGUGUGAUGGACGACCGUCCCCCCUCCCCAGUAACCACCCACCGCUUAGGGGGGUGGGAGGGAGGGGGACGCGCCCGAAAAGCAGUGGUCAGGCCGCGAUUCCGGCUCCUGGGCGAAUGGGACAUACCACCGCCUCCAGGACCGGCCGGCAGGCUGGGCCUAACGCAGCAUGUAUUAUUCAGGUUGACCUCGGAUCAUGUAGGGAUACCCGCUGAACUUAAGCAUAUCAGUAAGGCGGAAAGACAAAA
rnacentral:rRNA from 1 species